GAAACCUUAGUAUAAUUUUAGUAUAUUUAAUUGCAAAUUAAAUGGUAUUGGUUUUUA
rnacentral:tRNA from 1 species